AAAUAAAAAGUAAUUGCGUGCGUGCAAUCAACUUUUCCCCCUCGAUUCGUCUUGUACGAUUCACUCUCUAACGAACUUAAAAUUGUGGCAUAUGUCACAGUGGGUUUCGUUCUGCUGUGCGUGUGCUACGCUUUGAUUUAAGUGAAGCUUUUGUGUCUUCAGCUUCCCUCUUCUCCUCGUGGGGUUCCGUUCCCGCGGUAGUGAGCCUGGUGUGGUUCCGCCCGCGCCAGUGAUGGAGGGUGCUUUAGGCACUAACAAGCUUAGAUCUAUGGUGU
rfam:Rousettus bat coronavirus isolate GCCDC1 356, complete genome.